rnacentral:rRNA from 1 species
AACGAACGCUGGCGGCAGGCCUAACACAUGCAAGUCGAGCGCCCAGCAAUGGGAGCGGCGGACGGGUGAGUAACACGUGGGAAUAUGCCUUUCGGUUCGGAACAACUCGGGGAAACCCGUGCUAAUUCCGGAUACGCCCUUACGGGGAAAGAUUUAUCGCCGAAAGAUUAGCCCGCGUCCGAUUAGCUAGUUGGUGAGGUAAUGGCUCACCAAGGCACCGAUCGGUAGCUGGUUUGAGAGAACGACCAGCCACACUGGGACUGAGACACGGCCCAGACUCCUCCGGGAGGCAGCAGUGGGGAAUCUUGGACAAUGGGGGAAACCCUGACCCAGCCAUGCCGCGUGAGUGAUGAAGGCCUGG